rnacentral:siRNA from 1 species
ACAGAACACAAGAGAGCAAGCCAC